ACACCUCUUUUGCAUAAUCACAAUCAGUAGAAUUGGAACACCUCUUUUGCAUAAUCACAAUCAGUAGAAUUGGAACACCUCUUUUGCAUAAUCACAAUCUGUUGACCCCUUAUCUUUUGAAGAUCUGAUGCACAAACUCAGGGCAAUGCUGGUUCCCAACUGGAACUGUGGACCUCAGUGGUGUUGAACAAUCGGGAAAAGAAACAUACUUAUGAAAUGGAAAGGUCUCCACCAGUCAAUCGUAAGAAACAGUGAUGACUAUGACGUAGCCUUCAGCAUGGGGAAGUACCAAGUAGGUGUCCAGAUAAGCUGAAAGGCAAUGAAGUGACAGGAAGGAAAGGUCUGGGACUGCCUCACCAGCAGAAAUACACCAGGCACCUGGAAGUCCUUGCUGGUCACUUGCUCACUGCUCAGGGCAGGACCACUCAAGCUGGUGCCUGCAUUCUAUGCUACCAGCAGCAGCUGCCCUAGCUUCUUUACCACAUCAACGUUUUCAUACAC